AGAGUUUGAUCCUGGCUCAGGAUGAACGCUGGCGGUCUGCUUAACACAUGCAAGUCGAACGGAAAGUCUUCGGACUUUUAGUGGCGGACGGGUGAGUAACGCGUGAGAAUCUGCCCUUUGGAGUGGGACAACGACUGGAAACGGUCGCUAAUACCGCAUGAGCCGAGAGGUAAAAGAUUAAUUGCCAAAGGAUGAGCUCGCGUCGGAUUAGCUAGUUGGUGAGGUAAGAGCUCACCAAGGCGACGAUCCGUAGCUGGUCUGAGAGGAUGACCAGCCACACUGGGACUGAGACACGGCCCAGACUCCUACGGGAGGCAGCAGUGGGGAAUUUUCCGCAAUGGGCGCAAGCCUGACGGAGCAAGACCGCGUGGGGGAGGAAGGUCUGUGGAUUGUAAACCCCUUUUGUCAGGGAAGAACACAAUGACGGUACCUGAAGAAUCAGCAUCGGCUAACUCCGUGCCAGCAGCCGCGGUAAUACGGGGGAUGCAAGCGUUAUCCGGAAUUAUUGGGCGUAAAGCGUCCGCAGGUGGCUAAUCAAGUCUGCUGUCAAAGGUUGGGGCUUAACCCCAAAAAGGCAGUGGAAACUGAGAAGCUAGAGUGCAGUAGGGGUAGAGGGAAUUCCUGGUGUAGCGGUGAAAUGCGUAGAGAUCAGGAAGAACACCGGUGGCGAAAGCGCUCUGCUGGACCUUAACUGACACUGAGGGACGAAAGCUAGGGGAGCGAAUGGGAUUAGAUACCCCCGUAGUCC
rnacentral:rRNA from 1 species